rnacentral:rRNA from 1 species
UCCGGUGGUAAUGGCGGAGGGGCCACACCCGUUCCCAUCCCGAACACGGAAGUUAAGCCCUCCAGCGCCGAUGGUACUAGGCUGGGGACGGCCUGGGAGAGUAGGACACUGCCGGAA